rnacentral:rRNA from 1 species
AUUGAACGCUAACGGCAUGCUUAACACAUGCAAGUCGAACGGCAGCACAGUCGUAGCAAUACGAUGGGUGGCGAGUGGCGGACGGGUGAGUAAUGUAUAGGAAUCUGCCUUAUAGUGGGGGAUAACCUGGGGAAACUCGGGCUAAUACCGCAUAAUCUCUACGGAGCAAAGUGGGGGACCUUCGGGCCUUACGCUAUAAGAUGAGCCUAUAUUGGAUUAGCUAGUAGGUGGGGUAAAGGCCUACCAAGGCGACGAUCCAUAGCUGGUCUGAGAGGAUGAUCAGCCACACUGGGACUGAGACACGGCCCAGACUCCUACGGGAGGCAGCAGUGGGGAAUAUUGGACAAUGGGGGAAACCCUGAUCCAGCAAUGCCGUGUGUGUGAAGAAGGCCUUCGGGUUGUAAAGCACUUUUAGCGGGGAAGAAAAAGUUCAAAGCUAAUAAUUUUGAGCCUUGACGUUACCCGCAGAAAAAGCACUGGCUAACUCUGUGCCAGCCGCCGCAGUAA